rnacentral:lncRNA from 1 species
GGUCUUUUACGUCGGCCUUCGCGAGCGUCUGGGCGGGUGGUAGGUGAGUGGGUAUUGCGGGCUAGUAUCCGAGCAAAAGAUGGUGGCGCAGGCCGAGUUAAGAGCUUUAAUCCUGUGAAGACAUCUUAGUGAAGAGUUUAGAGUGCUGAGAGUUGAAAGCUUGCACGUGGGAAACGUGCGGCCGGACUGCCACAUGUACUGAGGUUGAGUCGUGACGGCCACAGGCUCCGAGUUUUGGCGUGAGGAACCGCUGAUCGGCCACGGGCGCCGAACUUGCUGGCCUCCGGCAUGUGCCUGAGCGGCGGCGGAAAAACCACCUUAAUUGGGGCGGAGGGUUAGUUUUAACAGCAAAGGGCCUUUACUAAAAUGGCGAAGGCCUUCCGUCGGCGUUGUUUUAAAAUGGGAAGCCUCGACCCUGUAUUGAAACUGAGCUGUUCGAAGGCGGCGUUGUGUGCAAUUCGGAUUAAUGAAGGGGAAGGGUUUUGUGUGGAAAAACGCCUUGGAGUGUGACAUUUCUGCGAGAAUGCUUAAAUACCGAUUUCCCGCAGGAACAAUGGCGCUGUCUUCAGUGGCACAGUGGAGCAGCUCUGAAGAUGCAAAGAUACACGAAAAAACUUCCAGAACAUCUGGGAGAAUAUUUAAUGGAAAAUCGCUUGGUUAAAACCUGACACUUUUAACAGUGAACAGCGUUCUGAGUGUGGACGAGUAGCCAGUGAAGAUAAUGAAUGUCGAAUGUGACUGACUAGCAGCUUCAUUUUGAAUGAGGGUCGCUGUCUGCCCAUUGAUAGAGGCCAGAUUGUCUUGGAAGUUCCAAAGUUGCAACGAUUUCUGGCUAGUGCCACGAGGUUUACUUGACUGUUGUGUGAAAAGCUGAUAAGAAAACCAUCCAGAAAAAAGCUCUUCGUUUUACAAACAUGAAAAUAAAACAUGUAAUUUUGGAUUAUGUUCCUUUUUGUUAUUACUUUUAAAUAGGUCCUGAAAUAACAUGGGGAGCAUUAAAUGGAAAAUCCACUAACCAGCCUUGUAAUCAAA